GGGGAUGAUUUGGAUUCGACUUUGUAAUCGAGAUGAAUAGUGCAAGCAGCCAAACGCAAUACAGGCUUUAAAAGAGUUGCAAAACAAUAGUUGCUAAUAACAACAAUUUCGACGAAAUCCGCUUAGCGGCUUAAUCGGGAGGUUGCUCAAAGCCUUCUAUCCAAUUUGAGCAAAGCAACAGACAAGUUGUAAAAAUCAAAACAUCUAAUGCAACAGGAUGGUAAACGAUAUCUUAUAACCAUCUAUCUUUUUAGCUUUGUGAUAGUAAGGCUAACAAGCUUGUGGAUGACUUGAAAUCAACAUUAUGAAGGACUGCGGUUCGAUUCCGCACAUUUCCACCA
rnacentral:tmRNA from 1 species